rnacentral:rRNA from 1 species
UACGUAGGUGGCAAGCGUUGUCCGGAUUUAUUGGGUUUAAAGGGUGCGUAGGCGGUUCCAUAAGUCAGUGGUGAAAUACGGCCGCUUAACUGUCGAGGUGCCAUUGAUACUGCGGAACUUGAGUACUGAUGAGGUAGGCGGAAUGGACGGUGUAGCGGUGAAAUGCUUAGAGAUCGUCGAGAGCACCGAUAGCGAAGGCAGCUUACUAAGGAGUAACUGACGCUGAGGCACGAAAGUGUGGGGAGCAAACAGG